AUUAGGAUACCGAUUCAGGAAGAUUUUUGUGGUAUAAGUGAUGGUUCUACCAUACUUGUAACAAAAAGUAGGUUUUACAGUUUUAGCAAUGUGAAGUAUGCACAAAACUAAAUAAUGAUAUGAGAUAUCGUCGCUUGGCUGUGCGGCAGAGAGGAGGACACUAGGACCUGGGGAAGAAUUGGGUGAGGCAUGACUGGUAGGGGUGCUAGAACUAAUUGUCACACAAACAAGACCAGGUGAAACAACUUAUUUAUGGUAAGCCAAACGAUCGGAAGAUGAGAAGGGGAACGGGAAGCUGGGCUCUUUGUUUGUUCAGGGGGGCGAGCUGAUUCAGUGCAUAACGCAAACUGCUAAAACAAGCAUUUUGAUUCAUCAUGAGCGGGGCUGAUUACUAAUGUAUUAUUGGAAGGCACAAGCUACUAAAACAAGGCGGUUGCACUCGAGGGACAGUGGGCGCACGUGUGGUGUUUACUUUUAUUGGAUGCAGUGGUUUGGUGUGAGGGUGUCACAUAUAGGUAAAUGCUGUGGUGAUGUAGUGGUUUGUUUUGGAGUAUUAAGUCUUCACUCCACUUGUACCUCCAUGUACUGCCUGGGUUGGUUUAUUUUGUCUUUUCGAUUAUGUGUUUUAUGCCUAUAAGGGACUUGUGAAAUAAAACUGCUCCGUAAAAGCGUCUAUACCUGAAGUCCACACUGCUGGUUUAUUCUAUAUACAUGGUUUACCUGUAAGCUCAUCCACUGGGCAAGGUUACAGCUGCAUAAGUUGAACACCAUCUACAUCAAUUCCAUGUGACAGUACUAAAUCUAGAGUAUGUUUUCGACAAUGAAUAGGUCCUGAGACGUGUUGUCUAACCCCAAUAGAGUUGAGAAUGUUUAUUAAUGCUGAUCUUAAUGCAUCCUUUUCAUUAUUAACAUAGAUAAUAAAAUCACCAACAAUAAAACUUUA